rnacentral:lncRNA from 1 species
GGGGAGUGUUUGACCGGUUCUGUCUCUAUUUCUAUCUCCUGGAGCAGAGACAGAGAGGGACGUCAAAUCAUCUGAAAAAAAAAAUAAUUAAAAACAAAAGCUUUGGGAAAGAAAAGUUCGUUGUGUUCUCUGCCCUGUGCAUCAGGUGGGAGGAGGGAGAAGCACGGAAGGGCGGUGUUGGUGCCGGCCCCUUUCAGUACCCCCAUCCCUUUCUGGGCUCUUUCUCAAUCGCUGACUCAGCUGACGAGUCUAGGCUCUGGAAAGGAUUGAAAGGAUGCAGCUGAAGAAAAAAGGAAGUUUGUAAGGAGAGAUAAGAGUUGAGCUGUCCCGUCCACCCGGCUCAGUUGCAUCAGCGAAUGGUCAAGUAGUUGCGGAGCCCCGACAAACCAGGUUACUGGGGUUGUCAAGGAGGCUCGGGAGUGUUUCCUCCCAGCAGCUUUGUGGGCGGGAGCCUGGGCCGGCUUGAGGGAUAGGGAGGCCUUUCUUGCUAAUGGAACAGACAAGCACGUGGGAGCUCAGAACCGGAGGAGACUGGAAACUGAAGGCUGGAGGAGGCUGUGUAGCUCCCACUCUGGGCUCUACCAGGAGGAAUUCGAGCUCCCGGGUGUCAAGAGGUCCUUUCUGCCUGCCAAAGUGGGCGCGGAAACCCAACCUGAACAAAAGGACAGAAGCGGGGAACCCUCCUUCUGGACUCAAAUCAAAAGGUACGCCCCCCCAAAAGCCAGAAUCCGAGAAUACUCAGGGCUAAGGGGAAGGCAGAGCGAAGGUCCCAGGAACCCUCCCCCACAACCCAGAGGGCUGAGUCCCCAGCAGCAGUGGGAACCUCCGAGCGGGCAAAGGUGCUGGUUUGGAGGGUCUACCUUUUGAGCAGUGGGGCGCCGGGCUCGGAGCAUCCAGCUUGGACAGCAGGGAGGAAGCCAGGGAGAGACUGGCAGUGGCUGGGUCCCUCCAUCGGGCUCCAGUUUCGGUUGCCUCGGGGCACAACCAGAUCAAUCCAGUUGAACCUAAUUCAAUCAGAACUCCUCAGAGUUUAGGGAGGUGGGCAAAGGCACUUGAGGACAGCAGAGAAGCAGCUGGAGAGAACUGGAGAGAGCCUGGGUGGCCCAGCCUUUCAGGAGUCUUCAGAGCCUCAGAGCUUCAUACCUCAUACAGCCCAACCCACUUGAACUCAAUCCAAUCAAAAGCCUCCAGAGGUUAGAGAAGCUAACAUUCCUCCCCUAGAGACUGUACCAAGAGAUCUGACAAAGCUCCAAGAGGGGAGACUGAC